GACGUAGGGCGCGAGCGUUGUCCGGAUUGAUUGGGCGUAAAGAGCUCGUAGGCGGCUCGUUGCGUCGGCUGUGAAAACCCGCAGCUCAACUGUGGGCCUGCAGCCGAUACGGGCGGGCUGGAGUUCGGUAGGGGAGACUGGAAUUCCCGGUGUAGCGGUGGAAUGCGUAGAGAUCGGGAAGAACAUCGGUGGCGAAGGCGGCCUGCUGGGCUGUUGCUGACGCUGAGGCGCGACAGCGUGGGGAGCAAACAGG
rnacentral:rRNA from 1 species